AUUGAACGCUAGCGGCAGGCCUAACACAUGCAAGUCGAACGCGUGGCGGACGGGUGAGUAAUGUCUGGGAACCUGCCCGAUGUAGGGGGAUAACUACCGGAAACGGUAGCUAAUACCGCAUACCAUCGGAUGUGUCCAGAUGGGAUUAGCUAGUAGGUGGGGUAACGGAGCACCUAGGCGACGAUCCCUAGCUGGUCUGAUAGGAUGGCCAGCCACACUGGAACUGAGACACGGUCCAGACUCCUACGGGAGGGAGCAGAGGGGAAUGUUGCACAGUGGGCGGAAGCCUGAUGCAGCCAUGCCGCGUGUAUGCAGGAGGCAUUCGGGUUGUAAAGGACUUUCAGCGAGGAGGCGUUACUCGCGGAAUAAGCACCGGCUAACUCCGUGCCAGCAGCCGCGGUAAUAC
rnacentral:rRNA from 1 species